rnacentral:tRNA from 1 species
UAGAUAUUUCAAUAGGGCAGGGGGGACUCUGACUCCUCUAGUCGAGGUUCGAAUCCUCGUCCCCCAGCCA